rnacentral:rRNA from 1 species
GACCAGACUCCUACGGGAGGCAGCAGUGGGGGAUAUUGCACAAUGGGGGAAACCCUGAUGCAGCGACACCGCGUGGGUGAGGAAGCGCUUCGGCGUGUAAAGCCCUAUCAGUGGGGAAGAAAAAGGACGGUACCUGAUUAAGAAGCCCCGGCUAACUACGUGCCAGCAGCCGCGGUAAUACGUAGGGGGCAAGCGUUAUCCGGAUUUACUGGGUGUAAAGGGAGCGUAGACGGCAUUGCAAGUCCGGAGUGAAAGCCCGCGGCCCAACCGUGGGACUGCUCUGGAAACUGUAGAGCUGGAGUGCGGGAGGGGCAGGCGGAAUUCCUAGUGUAGCGGUGAAAUGCGUAGAUAUUAGGAGGAACACCGGCGGCGAAGGCGGCCUGCUGGACCGUAACUGACGUUGAGGCUCGAAAGCGUGGGGAGCAAACAGGAUUAGAUACCCCCGUA